AGCGAACGCUGGCGGCAGGCUUAACACAUGCAAGUCGAGCGGGCGUAGCAAUACGUCAGCGGCAGACGGGUGAGUAACGCGUGGGAACGUACCUUUUGGUUCGGAACAACACAGGGAAACUUGUGCUAAUACCGGAUAAGCCCUUACGGGGAAAGAUUUAUCGCCGAAAGAUCGGCCGCGUCUGAUUAGCUAGUUGGUGAGGUAACGGCUCACCAAGGCGACGAUCAGUAGCUGGUCUGAGAGGAUGAUCAGCCACAUUGGGACUGAGACACGGCCCAAACUCCUACGGGAGGCAGCAGUGGGGAAUAUUGGACAAUGGGCGCAAGCCUGAUCCAGCCAUGCCGCGUGAGCGAUGAAGGCCCUAGGGUUGUAAAGCUCUUUUGUGCGGGAAGAUAAUGACGGUACCGCAAGAAUAAGCCCCGGCUAACUUCGUGCCAGCAGCCGCGGUAAU
rnacentral:rRNA from 1 species